UGGCCGCGGGAUUUGAUUAAGCCAUGCGAGUCGAACGAGUUUAGGCUCGUGGCGUACGGCUCAGUAACACGUGGAUAACCUACCCUUAGGACCGGGAUAACCUUGGGAAACUGAGGAUAAUACUGGAUAGGCAAUUUUUCCUGUAAUGGUUUUUUGUUUAAAUGUUUUUUCGCCUAAGGAUGGGUCUGCGGCCGAUUAGGUAGUUGGUUAGGUAAUGGCUUACCAAGCCUUUGAUCGGUACGGGUUGUGAGAGCAAGAGCCCGGAGAUGGAACCUGAGACAAGGUUCCAGGCCCUACGGGGUGCAGCAGGCGCGAAACCUCCGCAAUGUGAGAAAUCGCGACGGGGGGAUCCCAAGUGCCAUUCUUAACGGGAUGGCUUUUCAUUAGUGUAAAGAGCUUUUGGAAUAAGAGCUGGGCAAGACCGGUGCCAGCCGCCGCGGUAACACCGGCAGCUCUAGUGGUAGCAAUUUUUAUUGGGCCUAAAGCGUCCGUAGCCGGUUUAAUAAGUCUCUGGUGAAAUCCUGUAGCUUAACUAUGGGAAUUGCUGGAGAUACUAUUAGACUUGAGACCGGGAGAGGUUAGAGGUACUCCCAGGGUAGAGGUGAAAUUCUGUAAUCCUGGGAGGACCGCCUGUUGCGAAGGCGUCUAACUGGAACGGUUCUGACGGUGAGGGACGAAAGUUAGGGGCGCGAACCGGAUUAGAUACCCGGGUAGUCCUAACUGUAAACGAUGCGGACUUGGUGUUGGGGU
rnacentral:rRNA from 1 species